GUGGGGAAUAUUGGACAAUGGGCGAAAGCCUGAUCCAGCCAUGCCGCGUGUGUGAAGAAGGUCUUCGGAUUGUAAAGCACUUUAAGUUGGGAGGAAGGGCAGUAAGUUAAUACCUUGCUGUUUUGACGUUACCAACAGAAUAAGCACCGGCUAACUUCGUGCCAGCAGCCGCGGUAAUACGAAGGGUGCAAGCGUUAAUCGGAAUUACUGGGCGUAAAGCGCGCGUAGGUGGUUCAGCCAGUUGGAGGUGAAAUCCCCGGGCUCAACCUGGGAACUGGCUCCAAAACUGCAAGACUAGAGUACGGUAGAGGGUAGUGGAAGUUCCUGUGUAGCGGUGAAAUGCGUAGAUAUAGGCAGGAACACCAGUGGCGAAGGCGACUACCUGGACUGAUACUGACACUGAGGUGCGGAAGCGUGGGGAGCAAACAGGAUUAGAAACCCUUGUAGUCC
rnacentral:rRNA from 1 species